ensembl:lncRNA
AGGUAGUAAGAAAUUUGGGUGCUUAUUUUGACACUAAUUUAAACUUUGAAUUUCAUGUCAAGAAGUUGGUUCAGUCUUGUUUUUAUCAGUUAAGAAAUAUUUCUAAGGUGAGACAGUUUUUGAAUUUUUAUGAUAAAGAGAAGCUUAUUCAUGUUUUUAUUUCUUCCCGUCUUGACUAUUCCAAUGCCUUGUUCUCUUUGUGACGGGACGAGCCAACGACAGACACAGUGGGCGUGGCGUCAGGCCUCGGAGAGGUUUUUAUUUAACAGAAAAAACCAAAACAAGGGGGAAUAAAGUGUCCAAAAGGGGAACAGUGUCCAAAACAACAGGGAAUCUGGUGUCCUCGUCGUGCUGCGGGGUUCGUGGGGGUCUGGCAGUGUUCAUGGAGGAAGGGUCCAGGAAGGGUGCGUUGAGGGACUCCCGCGCCACCAGAGACGUGAGCUGCCGGACCCGCGGUCCGGUCGAGAACCGCACCCGUCUACACGGCCGUCGGGCCAGGAUGCCGGGCCGUCCAUCCCCUGCAAGCGCCGCGGCCAGCGAGGAGGAUGAAGCCGCUAGAAGGAGCCGCCGCCCCUCGCGCCCCGGACCCAAGAGGGGAGCGCGUGCGGCCACCGGACUCCGCCCCUUACCUGGACCCUUCCCUCCGUGAACACUGCCAGACCCCCACGAACCCCGCAGCACGACGAGGACACCAGAUUCCCUGUUGUUUUGGACACUGUUCCCCUUUUGGACACUUUAUUCCCCCUUGUUUUGGUUUUUCUGUUAAAUAAAAACCUCUCCGAGGCCUGACGCCACGCCCACUGUGUCUGUCGUUGGCUCGUCCCGUCACAUCUUCUUUGAAUCAUCGUAUUUUAUCGUGCUUACAAUUAGUGCAGUAUGCUAAAGCCAGAUUAUUGACACAAACAAAAUUAUUUCAUUAUAUUACACUGGUUUUAGAUUCUUUACAUUGGCUACCUGUUUAUAUUAGGAUCGAUUUUAAGAUUUUUUAUUGACAUUUAAAGCUUUAAACGGUUUGGCACCUUUGUAUUUAGCUGAACUUCUGAGACUGUACGAAACAAGGAGAUGUCUUAGAUCUUCUUUUAAUGAAUUGCUGGCAGUUCCAAGAACUAGAUAUAAAACAAAAGGAGAUAAGGCAUUUGCAGUGAGGGCUCCAAAACUUUGGAAUAGUUUGCCAGUGGAUAUUAGAUAAUCUGAAUGUGUUUCUGUUUUUAAAUGUUGCUUGAAAACAUACCUGUACAGAUG